GUUAAAAUAAAGAUCGGGCUUUCGCACUUGUCAUUCCUUUGCUAAUUCUAGAUCACCCUAACACUUCUAAUUACUCAAGCAUUCAUCCUAUUCAUGUAGUCUUCCUUGUGUCCACUUUUACAGCAGAGACAGCCAGGAACGCCAGGAGAGUGUCCUCAUUAUAGAAGAAACGUCGCCAAGGGAAUACUCCUUCACCACAAGUUUGGUAGCUGCAUUUCUUGGAGAGAUACAAUCAACUGCGGAGAGUCCCCAUGGGGGCCUAGCUCCCCAGGCGGAUGAUAACAUGCCCUCCAUACCUUGGUCCUUUUGAGUUUUUGGCUCCUGGUCUGGGCUGGUGCCAGUGAGGCGUGUUGGCCUGGUAGCCACAGAUUGCAAUGUGGCUUAGUCCUUAGUUCCCUUAGUCCUUAGUUCCCUUGUGCCAUAUUGGCCUGGGGGCAACUGCUCCUGUGCAUCACUGAUGAUCUACCUCUCUGUGGGGCGUCUGGCUGCCCUAGGGUCAUGAUUCGUGUUUGUCUGCCAUGGACUGCUGCGACCAGUAGGCUGACAGGAAAAGGAGUAUGAGAGAGAGGAAGAGACAUGCGAGAAAGGACCGCAAGCCGGAUUCAAACACAGGUCGCCCACGUCGAGGACUAAGGCCUGCAUACAUGCGUUGUGCACGCUACCCACUGCACCACCAAAGGCAUUAUAUAUUGAUAAUGUUAUUACAAAUAGUAGUAGUAGUAUUCCCUGUGUUAGAAAGAUGAACUGAUGUUAUGUUUACAUUUAAAUAUAUUUGUGCAAAGCAUGUA